rnacentral:tRNA from 1 species
UCCACAGUAGCUCAGUGGUAGAGCUAUCGGCUGUUAACCGAUCGGUCGUAUGUUCGAGUCCUACCUGUGGAGCCA